UCAAACCUGUCUUCGAUGCAUGCAUGGCUAUGCAUGCUUGGUUACAGCGGCAGCAGUAGCAGUUACUUAGCCAGGAGGUGGAAAUGACAUGCAGCUGCAUGUCGGCAAGAAAAGCAGUAGCGGCUGCAUGCCUUGGUAGUUAAGGAAACUACUAGUCGUAGUAAUUUACUAUGGUAAAAGCUGAGCAAGCUAGUCGUCAGCAGUGAUGUAAUCUAGGAGCUUGACGUAAGCUCAUACGUAUAGUUAGUCGGUUCAGCUACCUAUAAAAGGAGCUGCAUCCCGGUUGUAAAACUCAGGCCAUUCCAAUUUCAUUACAAGGCAUUUCCUCCUUCUAGUACCACCGUGUGUGCUUCAAGCCUCAAGUGCUGUGUACUAGUACUACUACUACUACGUGUGUGUGUGAUACACUAGUGAGUGUGUGAGUAGUACGUGUGUGUGCUCAUCCACCGGUCAUCUAUCAGUGUACUCGAGUGCGAGCGAGUAGUUCUGGGCUGAUAGGGGAGGCCAUUCUAGCUAGCUAUAUGUUGGUUUAGACAGCAGAUGUCUUGGAUCUGAUGCUGCCUGUGGGUGUGGCCAUAUAUUUAUACAGGUAGAGGUCGCAUGGGUGCUAGACAUUGACUUCAAAAGGAUGAUGUAGUUAACGUGCUCCUCACUCGUUUGAAGUCAGAGCUUCUGAUCCAGAGAAGCGCAAAUACACGUUAGCAAUGACGUUACUGAUGGUUCACGUAUACUGGCUAUGCGUCAUUCUCUUGCCGCCAAUGCUUAGCAGAUCAGUGAGAGAAAUGGCUAGUUUUUCCUUGCAGACCAUCCAAAGUGAUCACAAGUCAACUCCACUACAGUAAGUCAUCUAAGUAUUCAUCACGCAUAUCACUGCCAGCUAUACCUAGGUACGUACCAAAGGACAAUCCCGGUGCUGGUUGUGGCCUAGUGUAUUCAACAAUUUCGCUCAAUCAUUUGUUGGACUAUCUUUCUAAUGCAGUAAUUGCCAAAAACUACAAGUAUUCAGGUAGUAUGUGUUCAAGAAAACUACCUGUUUUAAUUUUUUACACUAACACCUAUCACUAUUGCACUAAAAAUUUGCUAAAAUUUACCAAUUCACACUGAUGACCGUUUUACUCAAACUAAACUGUGAUUAUUACAGGGUUGGCCCACUAGUCAUGUCCACAUGGCCUACAAAGUCAACAUCGUUUAUUUGACUGGUACGGUCGACGUUAUGACAUAUGGGCCCACAUGUCUGUUCUAUCUCCUUCCUUAAAAUUCUGGGAAUACUAGGCAUACAGGGUUGUGUGUUUGACGGAGCCGAUCCCCCGUCCCUUCCCACUCUCGCCGCCCAACCCCAUCACCAGAGGCCUCGAGGGCCUCGGCGGACUGCCCCUCCCCCCUGGCAGUCUCGUGCUCCCAGGGUGAGCAACAUGCACAACAACAUCUCUCAGAAAGGCAGAGCCGCUACAGCGGUGCAGGGCUCCCACGCCGGAUAUGCAGUGUUCUCACUUUGGUGCAUGUGCGCGUCUAGUAGUCUCGAGCACAGCGUGCAGGAGCAACUUGCGGCACGAGCAUUCUCCCUUUGGUUCAUGUGCGCAUAGAGUACCGGCUGGCGCAUGGGGGACGGAUGACUGGACGACAACAUUGUGCUCAUGCACAUUCUGUUCGCGGCCUCAGUGUGGCUGCCUCGUUGUGGCAUUCAUCAUUACCUUUCCUCGCCCCCUCCUUGUAUGCCACAGUUCGGCAAGGUCCCAGCCACCUAGGAGUCCCAUGGGUGGGAGAGAGAGUACCCUCGUCCCUCGGCGGCGAGCAUCACAAGAAGAAACAGUAUGCCGUGGCGGCAAGCAGCAGCAGUUUGUCUUGCUAUUUUUUUGUUUUGAAAACUGCCAAGGUAGUUAUUACUCCCUCUGUCUCAUAAUAUAAUAUUUUUUUGCAAGCUAAAACAGCUUGCAAAACGAUCUUAUAUUAUGAGAUGGAGGGAGUAUAUUUGAUAUUAGAGACCUCAUGUAUGGAAGCUGCGUGUAUUCAGGAAGUUGUCAUGGAAAGUGAACAUUGAUGGAGGGAUGCAGCCAACGCUCUGGCAAACUCUUCAACGGCCAUCCAAAAGCUAUAGGGAUCAAAUUAAGUGGUUUUCUGAUCACACAGGCAUCCUUCACUAAAAUCGUUUGUAUUGUUACUACCUAUUGCACAUGGUUUCCUUUAUCUAGCCGUGUCCAAAGAAUGAUCAACACGGCAUGUUCAUGAAACAUUUUUCUUGAAUCACAUGAACAUUUUUCUAAGUUGUAUAAGAACUUCCUAAAAGUUCUAUCAUCUUUCUAACACGUGACGAUUUUUCUAAAUGCCAUGAAUAUUUUUAUUGAAUAUUAUCAUCAUUUUAUAAAAUUUGCACAGACACUUUUUUACACUACAUGAUAUUUUUUUAAUGUGUGAUUAUCAUUUUUAAUAAUUGAAGUAAAUUAACAUUUAGAAUAUAUGUACUCAGAUUAUUUAAAAAAAUCCACAGUCGCUCCCCCGGCUAUCAGGCCCAUCUGUGCAUGUGUGUAGAAACACGUUGCAAGGUAUUUCACUAAGGACAGUGCCCAUUACGCGUAAAGGUGCAGUCUGGUAAUGGCCAGAACAGAACCAUAGUUUGGCAAAAAUAGAGCAAGAAUAUCUUUGAUUUUUGCCCAUGGAAGGAGGAUUUACUUAAGGAAAUCCAAAAAGCAAUUAAGUGUUCAAAGAAAUAACAAAUUAAUUUGGAAAGACAUUCCAUAAAAACAGUAAAAACAUAUGGAAAAUUUCCAGGUGCAUAUUUAAAUGAAACAACCAAACAAGAACAACACAAGUUCAAUUUUAUUGCGGGGCGCACACAUUCAAAUUCGCUAGAGCACAUCGUUGAUUAGGUAAUUUAACCGCCUAUACAAUAUAAAUGUUUGAAUUCCAAAAGCAAAAAUUUGAUAUGUUUUUACAUGAAUUUCUGAUAGAAGCUACACAUUUAGAGCCUGUUUGGGAAUGCUCCAACUCUCAACUUCCUCGACUCCACACAGGAAGCUCAGCCGAACGCUCUAUCACCAGGAAGCUGGAGUCGAGAAGCUAGCGAGGUGCCGUAGUGUAAAAAAGGUGGAGUUGGGGAAGCAGCCCUUUUCCAGAUCCGUGGAUAGCCAGAAGUUGGAGUUGAGGGUAAUUACCACCAGGUUGCCACCGCCAAUGUACGUGUAAUCCAGGACCAAGAUAUGCCAACCUUCCAUGAUGCUCCGUGCAAGAUUUCAUUCACCCUUUUCUGCUCGAGAUUAAGCUGAGGACAUGACAGUUCAUCAUCUCACAGUCACACAGGCGAUCUAAUCAGUCCCACAGGAAGCAAGCAUCACACGGAUGAGUUCCGUGGACAAGAAGCCGGAGGGAGGGAACACUGGUACUGGUGACCACAACCAGAAGACGGAGUGGCCAGAGUUGGUGGGGAAGUCGGUGGAGGAGGCCAAGAAGGUGAUUUUGCAGGACAAGCCAGAGGCGUGGAUCGUAGUUCUGCCAGUGGGGACAAUUGUGACCAUGGAAUAUCGGAUCUACCGUGUUCGCCUCUUUGUCGACAGACUCGACACCAUUGCCCAGGUCCCCAGGGUCGGCUAGCAAGCUUGAGAGCUGGCCUGCUGCUCGCGUACAUGUAUGGCAACUUGAUUAUCUCUUCUUCGAUAUAGCAAGAUUGAGAUAUAUAGAACAUAUACAUGAGAUAUAUAGAUCAUAUACAAUAAGAAUGAUGAUCUAUAUAUCUCAAUCAUAUACAA